rnacentral:rRNA from 1 species
AAUAUGGGACAAUGGGCGAAAGCCUGUUCUAGCCAUGCCGCGUGUGUGAAAAAGAUUAUCGGUUUGUAAAGCACUUUAAGGUGAGAGGAGGGGAGGGAGAUAAAUACUCUGCAAUUUUGAAAUUACCGACAGAAGAUACACCGGCAAACGUCGAGUCAGAAGCCGCGGUAAGACGAAGGGUGCAAGCGUUAAUCGGAAUUACUGGGCGUAAAGCGCGCGUAGGUGGUUCGUUAAGUUGGAUGUGAAAGCCCCGGGCUCAACCUGGGAACUGCAUCCAAAACUGGCGAGCUAGAGUACGGUAGAGGGUAGUGGAAUUUCCUGUGUAGCGGUGAAAUGCGUAGAUAUAGGAAGGAACACCAGUGGCGAAGGCGACCACCUGGACUGGUACUGACACUGAGGUGCGAAAGCGUGGGGAGCAAACAGG